GACAGAGGGUGCAAACGUUGUUCGGAAUUACUGGGCGUAAAGCGCGUGUAGGCGGCCAUGCAAGUCGGAUGUGAAAGCCCUCGGCUCAACCGGGGAAGUGCACUCGAAACUGCAAGGCUAGAGUCUCGGAGAGGAUCGUGGAAUUCUCGGUGUAGAGGUGAAAUUCGUAGAUAUCGGGAGGAACACCAGUGGCGAAGGCGGCGACCUGGGCCAAUAUUGACGCUGAGGUGCGAAAGCGUGGGGAGCAAACAGG
rnacentral:rRNA from 1 species